rnacentral:rRNA from 1 species
AGUGAACGCUAGCGGUGCGCCUAACACAUGCAAGUCGAGCGAGAAGUUAGAUGCUUGCAUCUAACAGAAAGCGGCGAACGGGUGAGUAACACGUUGGCAUCUGCCCCCAAGUCAGGGAUAGCCCAGGGAAACCUGGAUUAAUACCGGAUGUGCUCUACGGAGUAAAGAUUUAUUGCUUGGGGAAGAGCCUGCGUUCCAUCAGCUAGUUGGUGAGGUAAUAGCUCACCAAGGCUAUGACGGAUACCUGGUCUGAGAGGAUGAUCAGGCACAAUGGAACUGAGACACGGUCCAU